AUGUCAGAGCUGGAAAAUUGGGUUAUUCAGUGGGGAAAAAACCCCUGGGGUCCAAACUCUUGCAGAAGUAUGCAGCAGGCUGAUCUAGAGUUUUCCAAAUUAAAAGAAAUGACCAAGUGUAAGCUUUUCUCCCAAAAAUCCUUAAAAUGUGCAGGAGCAUGGGCAGUGUGGUUAGUUGCCAAAAGCUUAGCAGAAGAAAAACAGGCGGCCCAGGUAGAAAUUAAGAACCUAAAGGAGGAAAACAAGAAACUGAAAGAAGAAAUAAAGGCUCAGCAGCUUAAACUAGAGGAGGGUAUAACUCGAGAAGGAGCUGUGGCCGUGGAACAAGUGCGAAGUGUUCUCCAGUAUCAAGAGGCGUGUGAACAAAAAAAGGCCAUUUUGAAUGAAAAUCAGGCAUUGAAGGAAAAAGUAGCCAUCAGUACAAAAGCUGUAGAGGAGGCACAAAGAACAAUCCAAUUACUGGUACAAAAAAUACAGACCCUGAAAGACAGGAGCACAGACCACCAGGCCUGUGAGGUCAAGAUGGAAAAGUUAAAAGCUGCAUUAGAGGCGAAGCACGGGGCUGUCGUGGCCCCUACAAAAUCCCCCCUUCAGAGGGAUGAUGAGCACUGGGAUGGAAAGGAGCGGGUUCAUCCAGAAGGCAGCCCCUCCACAGGGGAGUGUAAGCUUGCAAGCCCACAGUCAGUAGUUUUUGAGAGGCCAGAAAGAUUAAAAGCAAAUCGUGUUUCACUUCCCUGUGCUCCAAUGGCUGGGGAAAGGGAGAGGGGAGUAGCGGAGCAGGGCAGUGAGAGGAACGAGCAGCCACAGGCAGGACAAGUUAUCACGGAGGGAACAGCCAGCCCUUGCCCAGCUCCUCGCCAGCUCAAACCCAGGAGCACCCCGGGGAGGAGAGAGCAGCCGGCAGGCGGUGUCUGGCCGAGGGAGGACAGAGGGGGAUACGGGAGAGGAAGGGAAAACCCCAGGGAUGUGCGGGAGCCGGAGGUGCCGCAGACCCCCGCCUCUGCCGCUGUGAGCCCCCCGAGCCCCUCCGCGGGAAAAGGGAGGAGAGGGAGGUGGCAGGGCAGGAGGCAGUGGCAGUACGGUGCAGCCCCCCGAUUCGUGGUACAGAACACCAUGGCCAGGAGGGAGUUAAGCACGAUGCGAGUGGACAUCUGGAGGGAGCUUCGGGGCCGGGGGGAGGACAUGGCCCGCUGGGAUAACGCUCCCACCAGGGUUUUGUUGGAUCGCCUGCUGGAGAUCAGCCGGAGAAGAGAGGGAAGCGAGCCCGGGGCUCCUGCCCUCCCUGUCAUGGCCUGA
rnacentral:lncRNA from 1 species